rnacentral:siRNA from 1 species
UCAGAAUCCGGGCUAGAAGCG